rnacentral:rRNA from 1 species
UACGUAGGGUGCAAGCGUUAAUCGGAAUUACUGGGCGUAAAGCGUGCGCAGGCGGUUGUGCAAGACAGAUGUGAAAUCCCCGGGCUUAACCUGGGAAUUGCAUUUGUGACUGCACGGCUAGAGUGUGUCAGAGGGGGGUAGAAUUCCACGUGUAGCAGUGAAAUGCGUAGAUAUGUGGAGGAAUACCGAUGGCGAAGGCAGCCUCCUGGGCCAACACUGACGCUCAUGCACGAAAGCGUGGGGAGCAAACAGG